rnacentral:rRNA from 1 species
GACGAACGCUGGCGGCGUGCUUAACACAUGCAAGUCGAGCGGUAAGGCUCCUUCGGGGGUACACGAGCGGCGAACGGGUGAGUAACACGUGAGUAAUCUGCCCUUCACUCUGGGAUAAGCACUCGAAAGGGUGUCUAAUACCGGAUACGACGCACUCUCGCAUGGGAUGUGUGUGGAAACUUUUGUGGGUGGGGGAUGUGCUUGCGGCCUAUCAGCUUGUUGGUGGGGUAAUGGCCUACCAAGGCUUUGACGGGUAGCCGGCCUGAGAGGGUGACCGGCCACAAUGGGACGGAGACACGGCCCAGAUUCAUACGGGAGGCAGCAGUGGGGAAUAUUGGACAAGGGGCGGAAGCCUGAUCCAGCAACGCCGCGUGAGGGAUGACGGCCUUCGGGUUGUAAACCUCUUUCAGUAUCGACGAAGCGCCCGUGUGGGUGGUGACGGUAGGUACAGAAGAAGCGCCGGCCAACUACGUGCCAGCCGCCGCAGUAAUAC